UUAAGUUCAGGGCACCAUAGCAAGUAUCUGAAUAAAGUGGGCCAAGAUACAAAAGGGGAUAGGAUUUCUCUACCUUGAAGAGUUGGGCUGGCCUAGCAGAGCAGGAGGACUUUGGAAGGAAGGAAAAGAAAGCUGGCAGCCUCACAAGCAUAGAAGGCAGGCUGUCAAAGCCUCUCCUCUAUUGCUUUCCAGGAAAGAGAACCUCCAUGAGGCUCAGGUGUUAUUCUCAAGAGUAAUCAAGCAGGUUGCUCACCUGCAACCCCUUCCAGGAACUUGAGGCAUUAAGGGAUUUCAGUGUUGAGCUCUCCUGAUUGCUAUUUCAUUUCCCCCCUCCAUCCUCUUCUAUAAACACAGCAGUGGGAUGCAACUGGAUCCAGAGAGCUGCCCAAUGGAAAUCCAUCAGUUAAGUUGCUAACCUCUUCACCCAUCCUUGCUCUUUUACCAUCAGUUUGAGGUCCAUGGGAUUAGCAGAAACCAACACAUAAGGGAUGAAGGUGCAAAGCUGGGGACCCUAGCCUCCUGCGAAGAGCCCACUAAGACUGCUCGCCUCCUCCCAAAGAAGCGCCCGCGGGCCAGUCUCUCUCCUCCGGCAGGUGCGUUCAAGAGAGCAGCUUCGCUUGCCCGUUCAUCCUCACCGGUGGCGCUCCUGACACCCGAGAGCAAACCUGGGCAGGAAUCGUGGGGGUUGCCGGAGUCUGGAUUUCCCUCUUCUGUGGUGACCUUAACUUGGAAGGAUCGCAAGUCUUUCUCUCUUUCCCACCCCCCACCCUCCUCUUUUUUGGCAAGGGCGGAGGGAGAGAGGAGAGGAGGGAGGCCGAGCCGCCGUCCAGCCUUCUUUCGCCUUGCGCUCGGGUUCCUGGCAAGGAAUUCCUCUUUAAAGGCGACUCCGAUUGCUGUGUCAGUCAGUCCAGACAGCGGCGGUGGUGGGAGGAGCUGGGGCUGCCGAUGCCGCCUCUUGCUUUGGAAGCGGCUGCCGGAGAUGCUUCGCGCUGGCGAGCGGAGCGGAGAGGAGCGCGCCCGUGAGCGAGGCAGCAGGCGAGCCGCCGACGGAGAGAGCCAGCCAGGCAGCCGGACGGAGAGCGACCGAGGCGGCGAAGCCCAACUCCAGCAUUGCCUGAGCCGCCGCUAA
rnacentral:lncRNA from 1 species